GAUGAACGCCGGCGGCGUGCCUAAUACAUGCAAGUCGAGCGAACAGACGAGGAGCUUGCUCCUCUGACGUUAGCGGCGGACGGGUGAGUAACACGUGGAUAACCUACCUAUAAGACUGGGAUAACUUCGGGAAACCGGAGCUAAUACCGGAUAAUAUAUUGAACCGCAUGGUUCAAUAGUGAAAGACGGUUUUGCUGUCACUUAUAGAUGGAUCCGCGCCGCAUUAGCUAGUUGGUAAGGUAACGGCUUACCAAGGCAACGAUGCGUAGCCGACCUGAGAGGAGGGGCGGAAAAAAUGGAAAGGAGACAAGGGAGAGACAAAGCAGGGAGGCAGCAGGAGGGGAGGGUAAGGAAGGGGGGAAAGUCGGAAGGCGAAAAGAGGAGAGAAGAAAGAAGGUCUUAGGAUAGUAAAACGCUGUGAUGAGGGAAGAACAAAAGUGCAAGAAAAUAUGAACGACGUGACGGGAGAUAAUAAGAAAGAAACGGAUAACGAAGGG
rnacentral:rRNA from 1 species